UAGGGAAUCUUCGGCAAUGGACGAAAGUCUGACCGAGCAACGCCGCGUGAGUGAAGAAGGUUUUCGGAUCGUAAAGCUCUGUUGUAAGAGAAGAACGAGUGUGAGAGUGGAAAGUUCACACUGUGACGGUAUCUUACCAGAAAGGGACGGCUAACUACGUGCCAGCAGCCGCGGUAAUACGUAGGUCCCGAGCGUUGUCCGGAUUUAUUGGGCGUAAAGCGAGCGCAGGCGGUUAGAUAAGUCUGAAGUUAAAGGCUGUGGCUUAACCAUAGUACGCUUUGGAAACUGUUUAACUUGAGUGCAGAAGGGGAGAGUGGAAUUCCAUGUGUAGCGGUGAAAUGCGUAGAUAUAUGGAGGAACACCGGUGGCGAAAGCGGCUCUCUGGUCUGUAACUGACGCUGAGGCUCGAAAGCGUGGGGAGCGAACAGGAUUAGAUACCCUGGUAGUCCACGCCGUAAACGAUGAGUGCUAGGUGUUGGAUCCUUUCCGGGAUUCAGUGCCGCAGCUAACGCAUUAAGCACUCCGCCUGGGGAGUACGACCGCAAGGUUG
rnacentral:rRNA from 1 species